UAUUGAUUAUAUUCUUUAGGUUGUGGAUCGAAUUGGCAAGGAGCAUUGCAAAGUUAAUUUGCAAGAGAUGUGACAAGCGAAGUAGAAAAGGAUACUUAAUUUUGAAGGCUUUGUGUUGGGCAGCUGUAGAAUAUUUUGUGUUGAAAGUAGUAACUUUUCACUAUGUUGAAUAUUUAAGACUCCUUGAAUACUUAAAGAACAUUUUGUUGUUGAUGACAGUGUUGAAUGUUUUAAACUAAUUUGUGGAUUGUUAAUACAAUGUUGAAUGUUUUUACUUUUUGUUAUUUGAAAA